rnacentral:rRNA from 1 species
CCUACGGGUGGCAGCAGUGGGGAAUAUUGCACAAUGGGCGAAAGCCUGAUGCAGCAACGCCGCGUGAGCGAUGAAGGCCCUCGGGUUGUAAAGCUCUGUCCGCAAGGAAGAAAAUGACGGUACUUGAGGAGGAAGCCCCGGCUAACUACGUGCCAGCAGCCGCGGUAAUACGUAGGGGGCUAGCGUUAUCCGGAUUUACUGGGCGUAAAGGGUGCGUAGGUGGGUUCUUAAGUCAGAGGUGAAAGUCUAGGGCUCAACCGUAGUAAGCCUUUGAAAAUGGGAAACUUGAGUGCGGGAGAGGAGAGUGGAAUUCCUAGUGUAGCGGUGAAAUGCGUAGAUAUUAGGAGGAACACCAGUUGCGAAGGCGGCUCUCUGGACUGUAACUGACGCUGAGGCACGAAAGCGUGGGGAGCAAACAGGAUUAGAUACCCGUGUAGUC